rnacentral:rRNA from 1 species
UACGUAGGGGGCAAGCGUUGUCCGGAUUUACUGGGCGUAAAGGGCGCGUAGGCGGCCACCGCAAGUCGGUUGUGAAAUCUCCGGGCUUAACCCGGAAAGGUCAAUCGAUACUGCGGGGCUAGAGUGCAGAAGGGGCAACUGGAAUUCUCGGUGUAGCGGUGAAAUGCGUAGAUAUCGAGAGGAACACCUGCGGCGAAGGCGGGUUGCUGGGCUGACACUGACGCUGAAGCGCGAAAGCUAGGGGAGCGAACGGG